rnacentral:rRNA from 1 species
UGGGGAAUAUUGCACAAUGGAGGGAACUCUGAUGCAGCGACGCCGCGUGAACGAAGAAGGCUUUCGCGUCGUAAAGUUCUUUUAUAUGGGAAGAUAAUGACGGUACCAUAAGAAAAAGCCCCGGCUAACUACGUGCCAGCAGCCGCGGUAAUACGUAGGGGGCUAGCGUUGUCCGGAAUCACUGGGCGUAAAGGGUUCGCAGGCGGAAAUGCGAGUCAGGUGUAAAAGGCAGUAGCUUAACUACUGUAAGCAUUUGAAACUGCAUAUCUUGAGAAGAGUAGAGGUAAGUGGAAUUUUUAGUGUAGCGGUGAAAUGCGUAGAUAUUAAAAAGAAUACCGGUGGCGAAGGCGACUUACUGGGCUCAUUCUGACGCUGAGGAACGAAAGCGUGGGUAGCAAACAGG